rnacentral:rRNA from 1 species
UCUGGUUGAUCCUGCCGGACCUGACUGCUAUCGGAUUGGUACUAAGCCAUGCGAGUCAUUGUAGCAAUACAAGGCGGACGGCUCAGUAACACGUAGUCAACCUAACUCGUGGACGUGGAUAACCUCGGGAAACUGAGAAUAAACCACGAUAGAUCAUAGUGCCUGGAAUGGCUUAUGGUCCAAACAGUUUACUGCCAUGGGAUGGGACUGCGGCCUAUCAGCUUGUUGGUGAGGUAAUGGCCCACCAAGGCGAUUACAGGUACGGGCUCUGAGAGGAGAAGCCCGGAGAUGGGUACUGAGACACGGACCCAGGCCCUAUGGGGCGCAGCAGGCGAGAAACCUUAGCAAUGUGCGAAAGCACGACUGGGUCAGUCCGAGUGAUUCCUGAUAAAGGAGUCUUUUGCUUGUCCUAAAAGCACAGGUGAAUAAGGGGUGGGCAAGUCUGGUGUCAGCCGCCGCGGUAAUACCAGCACCUCGAGUGGUCAGGACGUUUAUUGGGCCUAAAGCAUCCGUAGCCGGCUUUGCAAGUCUUCGGUUAAAUCCACCUGCUCAACAGAUGGGCCGCUGGAGAUACUACAAAGCUAGGGAGUGGGAGAGGCAGACGGUAUUCAGUGGGUAGGGGUAAAAUCCUCUGAUCCAUUGAGGACCACCAGUGGCGAAGGCGGUCUGCCAGAACACGUUCGACGGUGAGGGAUGAAAGCUGGGGGAGCAAACCGGAUUAGAUACCCGGGUAGUCCCAGCUGUAAACGAUGCAAACUCGGUGAUGCAUUGGCUUAUGGCCAAUGCAGUGCCGCAGGGAAGCCGUUAAGUUUGCCGCCUGGGAAGUACGGACGCAAGUCUGAAACUUAAAGGAAUUGGCGGGGGAGCACCACAAGGGGUGAAGCCUGCGGUUCAUUGGACUCAACGCCCGGA